CCAGACUCCUACGGGAGGCAGCAGUGGGGAAUAUUGGGCAAUGGGCGCAAGCCUGACCCAGCAACGCCGCGUGAAGGAAGAAGGCUUUCGGGUUGUAAACUUCUUUUCUUGGGGACGAAGAAAGUGACGGUACCCAAGGAAUAAGCCACGGCUAACUACGUGCCAGCAGCCGCGGUAAUACGUAGGUGGCAAGCAUUAUCCGGAUUUAUUGGGUGUAAAGGGCGUGUAGGCGGGAAUGCAAGUCAGAUGUGAAAACUAUGGGCUCAACCCAUAGCCUGCAUUUGAAACUGUAUUUCUUGAGUGCUGGAGAGGCAAUCGGAAUUCCGUGUGUAGCGGUGAAAUGCGUAGAUAUCACGCAGAACUCCGAUUGCGAAGGCAGCAUGCCGGCUCCACACUGACGCUGAGGCACGAAAGCGUGGGUAUCGAACAGGAUUAGAUACCCCAGUAAAA
rnacentral:rRNA from 1 species